rnacentral:rRNA from 1 species
UACGGAGGGGGCUAGCGUUGUUCGGAAUGACUGGGCGUAAAGCGCGCGUAGGCGGAUCAUCAAGUCGGGGGUGAAAUCCCGGGGCUCAACCCCGGAACGGCCUUCGAGACUGGUGGUCUUGAGUUCGAGAGAGGUGGGUGGAAUUCCGAGUGUAGAGGUGAAAUGCGUAGAUAUGUGGAGGAACACCGAUGGCGAAGGCAGCCCCCUGGGCUAACACUGACGCUCAUGCACGAAAGCGUGGGGAGCAAACAGG